UCUCGGCAAUGCUUUAACAAAGAAAUUGUUGCAGCCACCUCCCCUGCUGGUGAUGACCAUAUGCAGCCAAUGCUGAUGUGAACCCGAGUGAUGAACAAAUGCAGAUCUGCAAAGGAGCUGUCCUGAGGCACCAUGCUUACCCAAGUCAUGCAGCGAGAGUCAGCAUGCCUGGAAAAGUACUUCAAAGCACACCCCAUCUGGCUGACUGCACUACCUCAAGAAAACUGCCUUUCUCCCAUCUGCAAGUUCCUAAGAAGUUACUUUAUGAAGCAAGCCAGCAGGGCGUACGUGUGAGGCAUGGCAGCACGGAGAACAAAUAAACAUGAGUAUUUGGUGCAAGAUGCAUUCAUUGAUUUCGUGCUGCAUCAACGUGUGGCUGCAUGCUUGGCC
rnacentral:lncRNA from 1 species